rnacentral:rRNA from 1 species
GUGAGAAUGUUGGCAUGAGUAGCGAGAUGUGGGUGGGAAUCCCACAGGCCGUAAACCCAAGGUUUCCAGGGGAAGGUUCGUCCACCCUGGGUUAGUCGGGACCUAAGCUGAGGCCGAAAGGCGUAGGGGAUGGACAACAGGUUGAUAUUCCUGUACUACCGAUAACCGUUUGAGAGAAGGGAUGACACAGUAGGAUAAGCUAAGCACACUG